AGCAACAAAACAUUUAUAUAAUGGUCAUAUUAUUUUUAACAACUUUUAUGGGCUAAUAUGCGCAGUAUCUUAAAAAGUUUGCUUGAAAAUUUAUCAUACAACGAAAUUUUCGGCGAAGACGAUCUUACUACGUGGUUGCGCCAAGAUGUAAGAUGGGCAUGCAUUUUUGGUGACACAGAGUGUCAACGAAUUGCUAAUGCUAGAUUGAAGGAACACCUAGAAGAUCCCAUAAAGCACAAGUCAUUCUUGCAAUUACAUUUUUUCUGGUGGUAUUAUUCUUAUAUAAUACAUGAAAUUCGAGACAUUAAUCGACGCAAAUAUGGAACUUCUUGAAAAUAGCAUUUACCGUUUCUUAAAUCGUUUAUAUAGUGUAUAGUUUAUAUAGUUUGUGCAAUAUGUUCAGAUUAGUGGUAAUUACAGUUGCAUUAAACUUUUUUUCUGUAUAUUUGUACAUGCGAAUAUGAAAUACAUAAAUAAGAUAAUAUAACGUAUUUCGAGCACGAACCCAAUACGGAUACGCAAAACGCAAUGUAUUCACUAGUUUUCACUCUCAAUCUGCUUUAAAAUACAUUGUAUUGUUUCUUUUGGAUUUUGUAAUUUCAGUUUGUCAGAAUGAUUAUUUUUAUUUAGAUGCGCGCACUAAUAGUUUAUAGACAUUAGUAAAUGUAAUUUGUAGCAUGUAUUAUCGUUUCUCUGUCAUGUUUGUCGGGAGAUUAGAGAAAGUAUAGACUUUACCCUUGAGGAUGCAAAAAAAAACUUUUCAAUACGACAAAUUUUCGCGGAGUUACGCUUAUUUGAAAUAUGCGAAAAUUUAUAUGAAUUUACGUGUUGCGAUAAUUUUGUUGACGAGUGUAUAUACAGGGUGUUCAAAAAAUGGGAGAUUCGUUAAUUUUGCGAAAUCUGUUGAUAAUUGAUUGUACCGUUUAUAAUAAUAAGAAUUGUCUUAUCGAAUUUCAAUCACAUUUUGCUUAUAGACUUUCACCGGAAUGGAAAGAAUGGACGUACUGUAAAGGUGUGAUGAGAGCGAAUCAGAGCAUUGUGCUGAAAUUGGGAGAAUUAUACACAAAUGAAUCUAAAGUUUUUAAUUAUAUUUCCUGCGCUACAAAACCUCGUCUUGCUAUCGAGAUUUUCUUCAAUUCACAUCUCUUAACAGGAAAGAUAGAUAUCCCACACUUUUCGGUUAUGUCAUCUUUGCUGAGUAUGCAGUGGAACAUAUAAACGAAAUCCCAAGAAUUAUAGAGGCAUACAAGUAAUAAAAUUAGUUUUAUAAACUGCUCUUCCAAAAGUAUUGCAAGUUUCUUUACUAGUAUAGUUUAUUUACGAAUAAUUACUUUGUUUUUUUGCAGUGCUUCAGAUUCCGUUAAAAAUAAACUAUUAUGUAUUAUUAUAAAUCAUUUAUUUUCUGGAUAUAAAAUUCUACAGGUACUUCUGCAGAUGGGCGGCAGCGUGUAUAAUUUCAGUGAAACAAAAAUAGGUGAAAAUCUUGAAGGCAUUAUCGAAAGACGAUUGCGUCAAAUUAAGGAUCAAAAAGAUAGGCUUAAGAAAUUAAUAGUGUAGAACUAAUUGCUUAAAUGUGUCAGUGAGAGAUAAAGUUAUUCGUUUAUGCAACUGUAUUAUUAAUAUUUCUACGCAUAUUUGCUUGUAAUUACUAAGUUGUCAAUGUAUUUUAUAUAUAAUUAAUAAAAAUUAAUGUUUGAUAAAUUUUUUUACGAAAUA
rnacentral:lncRNA from 1 species